rfam:Desulfotomaculum ruminis DSM 2154, complete genome.
GUUUCAAAUCCUUAUAGGUAAGCUAAAAAC